UACGUAGGGGGCAAGCGUUGUCCGGAAUUAUUGGGCGUAAAGCGCGCGCAGGCGGUUUUUUAAGUUUGGUGUUUAAACCUAGGGCUCAACCUUGGGUCGCAUCGGAAACUGGGGAACUGGAGUGUAGGAGAGGAAAGUGGAAUUCCACGUGUAGCGGUGAAAUGCGUAGAGAUGUGGAGGAACACCAGUGGCGAAGGCGACUCUUUGGCCUGUAACUGACGCUGAGGCGCGAAAGCGUGGGGAGCAAACAGG
rnacentral:rRNA from 1 species